UCGCGAAAACUUGUCAAUGGGGGCAACCCCGAACAGGGAAUUCCAAGUGCAUGCGUUUUACGUAUGCUUUUCGGCUGUCUAAAAAACAAUCGGAAUAAGGGCUGGGUAAGACAGGUGCCAGCCGCCGCGGUAAUACCUGCAGCCCAAGUGGUGACCGUUAUUAUUGAGCCUAAAGCGUCCGUAGCCGGUCCGGUAAACCCUCGGGUAAAUCGAGCAGCUUAACUGUUCGAACACCGGGGGGACUGCCGGACUUGGGACCGGGAGAGGUCAGAGGUACUCCAGGGGUAGGGGCUAAAUCCUGUAAUCCUUGGAGGACCACCAGUGGCGAAGGCGUCUGACUAGAACGGAUCCGACGGUAAGGGACGAAACCCUGGGGCGCAAACCGG
rnacentral:rRNA from 1 species